UACGGAGGGUGCUAGCGUUGUUCGGAAUCACUGGGCGUAAAGGGCGCGUAGGCGGCCAUUCAAGUCAGAGGUGAAAGCCCAGGGCUUAACCCCUGGAAUUGCCUUUGAUACUGUUUGGCUUGAGACCGGAAGAGGUAAGUGGAACUGCGAGUGUAGAGGUGAAAUUCGUAGAUAUUCGCAAGAACACCAGUGGCGAAGGCGGCUUACUGGUCCGGUUCUGACGCUGAGGCGCGAAAGCGUGGGGAGCAAACAGG
rnacentral:rRNA from 1 species